rnacentral:rRNA from 1 species
CCUACGGGCGGCUGCAGUGGGGAAUAUUGGACAAUGGGCGAAAGCCUGAUCCAGCCAUGCCGCGUGUGUGAAGAAGGCCUUCGGGUUGUAAAGCACUUUCAGUGGGGAAGAAAGCCUUGGGGCUAAUACCCUCGAGGAAGGACAUCACCCACAGAAGAAGCACCGGCUAACUCCGUGCCAGCAGCCGCGGUAAUACGGAGGGUGCGAGCGUUAAUCGGAAUUACUGGGCGUAAAGCGCGCGUAGGCGGUCUGAUAAGCCGGUUGUGAAAGCCCCGGGCUCAACCUGGGAACGGCAUCCGGAACUGUCAGGCUAGAGUGCAGGAGAGGAAGGUAGAAUUCCCGGUGUAGCGGUGAAAUGCGUAGAGAUCGGGAGGAAUACCAGUGGCGAAGGCGGCCUUCUGGACUGACACUGACGCUGAGGUGCGAAAGCGUGGGUAGCAAACAGGAUUAAUACCCCGGUAGUC